rnacentral:rRNA from 1 species
UCCUUCAACUUUUGUUGACRGAUGUGGACUUGGACUCUGUYGUGUUACUACGACUGGUCUUAAAUGUAUGAGUGCACCCUGCUGUUGCAGYGUCUUCAGUGUGAUAAGCAUCUUCACUGGAUAAAGUUCCUUYGGGACACGCAGGCAUUGUGGGCUCUGUGCUAACAACYGUCUUUGGACAACUUUGACAAUUUGACCUCAAAUCGGGUGGGACUACCCGCUGAACUUAAGCAUAUCAAUAAGCGGAGGAAAAGAAACUAACAAGGAUUCCCCUAGUAACGGCGAGUGAAGAGGGAAAAGCUCAAAUUUUGAAUCUGGUGUCUUUGGCGCCCGAGUUGUAAUCUAGAGAAGUGUUUUCUGCCUYGGACCACACAUAARUUCCCUGGAAUGGGGUGUCAUAGAGGGUGAGAAUCCCGUUUGUGGUGUGGACUACCUUGGCUCUGUGAUACACUCUCAACGAGUCGAGUUGUUUGGGAAUGCAGCUCAAAAUGGGUGGUAAAUUCCAUCUAAAGCUAAAUACUGGCGAGAGACCGAUAGCGAACAAGUACCGUGAGGGAAAGAUGAAAAGCACUUUGGAAAGAGAGUGAAACAGUACGUGAAAUUGUUGAAAGGGAAGCGUUUGAAGUCAGUCACAUUGGUCGGAAUUCAGCCUGGCUUCUGCCUGGUGUAUUUUCUGGCAAAUGGGUCAGCGUCAAUUUUGACUGAGGGAGAAAGACUUGAGGAAUGUGGCUGUCUUCGGGCAGUGUUAUAGCCUCUUGUUGUAUGUCUCAGUUGGGAUUGAGGAUCGCAGCACGCCUUAYGGCCGGGGUACGCUCUCGGUACGUGCUUAGGACGCUGGCAUAAUGGCUUUAAGCGAC